CGCUGAUUUUGAAGAAAUUUACGGUGAUUGUUUUUGAAAGUGAGGCGCUUUGCCAUAAAAUGUUGCAAAGACUUGAAACAAAUACAAAUAAUAUGUGCGAAACAAAAGAAAUUCGAAAGGAAACGAGUGAACAAAUCUCCAACAUGAAAACGUCAUCAAAUCUGACAAAUCAAAAAGAAAACAGUAAUAGAAGAUAUGCCGCCAGACCACAGCUAAACAAAUUUUGAGGAAUUAGAAGAUUAUCUUUGGAUACUACAACAAGCAGGUUUCUUUGAACUGCUAUUGUCCCAGAUAGGUGGUAAUGGGAAAAAGAACAAUGUGGAGCGUGUAUUAAAAAAAUAUUUUUCACCGAAUUUGCUGUAGCUUGUUCGUUCAGUAGGAAAAUUCCAGAAUGGCUGGGACAAAAACAAUGAAUAUCAUGAAAGGUAUUAUUUUGCAAUAAA